rnacentral:rRNA from 1 species
UACGGAGGAUCCAAGCGUUAUCCGGAUUUAUUGGGUUUAAAGGGUGCGUAGGCGGCUUAUUAAGUCAGGGGUGAAAGACGGUGGCUCAACCAUCGCAGUGCCUUUGAUACUGAUGAGCUUGAAUACACUUGAGGUAGGCGGAAUGUGACAAGUAGCGGUGAAAUGCUUAGAUAUGACACAGAACACCGAUUGCGUAGGCAGCUCACUAAACUAUAACUGACGCUGAGGCACGAAAGCAUGGGGAUCAAACAGG